rnacentral:rRNA from 1 species
CGUAGGUGGCAAGCGUUGUCCGGAUUUAUGGGUUUAAAGGGUGCGUAGGCGGCUUUGUAAGUCAGUGGUGAAAUACUCCAGCUCAACUGGAGAGGUGCCAUUGAUACUGCAGAGCUAGAGUACUGAUGAGGUAGGCGGAAUGGACGGUGUAGCGGUGAAAUGCUUAGAUAUCGUCCAGAACACCGAUAGCGAAGGCAGCUUACUAAAGAGUAACUGACGCUGAGGCACGAAAGUGUGGGGAUCAAACAGGAUUAGAUACCCUGGUAGUCCACACUGUAAACGUUGAUCACUAGAUGUUGGCGAUACACUGCCAGCGUUCCAGCAAAAGCGAUAAGUGAUCCACCUGGGGAGUACGCCCGCAAGGGUG